UUAUAAUAGGUGUAUGAUGCACAUAGAACUUUGAUUUCUAAUGGUUAGUUUGAUUCUAAAGUUAUAAU
rnacentral:tRNA from 1 species